UUAUUAAGAGUCUUGAGACUCAGAGAAGCCACGGAAGUUCAACAAAUUCUCCACAUGAAUGGGGGAAAUGGAGAAACUAGCUACGCUUGUAACUCCAAACUUCAAAUGUUCUAAGAGAUUUCAAA